GACAGAGGUCCAAGCGUUAGGCGGAAUCACUGGGCUUAAAGCGUGUGUAGGCGGACUUGUAAGUACCUUGUGAAAUCCCACGGCUCAACCGUGGAACUGCUGGGUAUACUGCGAGUCUUGAGCCACCUAGGGGCGAGCGGAACAAGUGGUGGAGCGGUGAAAUGCGUAGAUAUCAACUUGGAACGCCAAUGGUGAAAACAGCUCGCUGGGGGUGUGCUGACGCUGGAGACACGAAAGCCAGGGGAGCAAACGGG
rnacentral:rRNA from 1 species